GAUGGGACUAUCGUAUGUACAGAUGUGUUCGUUCGUGUAACGUAGUGGUCUAUCAAUUUCGCGGGUCUGGACGUUUACGAGGAGAUCGUAAAGGCGACGUAAUAGGCGUACAUGGUCGUAUAGACUGUCGCCGGGUGGUCAGGAAAUUCGAUCGAGCGCGAAGGGUUUUACGUAAGUCUCGAGAUCCUUCGAUCGUCCUCUAUGUCGCAGUGUUCGUUGCAAAUGUUACGCAGUGAACAUAACCUCGAAAUACAUUCUUCGAUUUCCUGCUUUUCUUCUAAUGGCAAUUGAAAAUUCGUUACAAGAAUAUGGAAUAUGAAGAAAAUUUCAGCAACAGUUUCUAAAACGAUCUACGAAGAUUAUCAAAAGAUAUCACAAGAUCAAAGCAUAUGAUUUCGCGAAAAUUUGAGAUUCAUCAAAGCGUUUUAAAGUCCGGCCACCUGCGGAGCUUCAUCGCGAGCGUGGGCUGCUGAGUGCAAGAAGAAGGGGUGUCAAGGGUGAAGCUCUCGAGUAUGAGUAUACACGUCAACGCACAUGACAAACAUUUGAAGAUAAAAUUAUUCACAGAUCGUCAACGACUUAA